rnacentral:tRNA from 3 species
GGGAGUAGAUAGGUUCUGGUGUGCCUUCCGGGCUUCAAACCCGGCAGCGGGCUCUAGACAAGUCCGCGGUGGGUUCGAUUCCCACAUACUCCCGCCA